rfam:Daphnia pulex DAPPTscaffold_2440_Cont14187, whole genome shotgun sequence.
GCCCGGUUAGCUCAGAUGGUAGAGCGCGGGACUUUUAAUCCUGAGGUCGAGGGUUCAAGUCCCUCAUCGGGCG